AGGGUGGAUGAGGAAGACAUCGUCUCCCACAUCCUAGCUGGGCUCGAAGAAGAUUUCGAGCCGAUGGUUUCUGCCAUGUGUUCCCGGGUGGAACCGGUGAAUGUGGCCGAGUUGUAUCCACAACUGCUCAGCUUUGAGA
rnacentral:snoRNA from 1 species